CCACCCACACCCUCUUCUCUCUUCCAUCCGUACCCCAUUCUCUCUCUCUCUCUCUCUCUGUCUCCCUCCUUCCCUUAACCCACCCACCACAGACUCUCUCUCCCCUCCUUAACCCACCCACACCCACUUCUCUCUUCCAUCCGUUUCUCUCUUUACCAAAUGGAUUACUUUGGUCUCACACAUAUAUAUUAAUCCUUAAUCCUCAGUCUUUCACUUCGUGAAUUCGUCCCCUGAAUCGCGAUUCCACCCACAGUCCACACCACCUUGCCCGAAUCGAGCUCUCAGUCUUAGUCCUCACUCCUCCUCACUCCACAAGGUUUCUCGGUGACUGGUUUGGUCGACCCGAUCCAACUCAUAUUGGAGCAGUUUAGAGCCUUGUUCACUCUGUCUCUGCAACCUCAAAGGCCCUGGCCUUGUCACGCCCCCAUUGCCGGUGAGUCAGGUGACUAUGAGCUGAAUGUAUUAUCUCCAACCCAAAAAUUGGUUUUACAACCCGAAGUGAGGAAUUUGAAUCUUUGAGAUGGCAGAUCUGGAACUUGUAGAGUGUGAUGAGUCUGAACAAUGUAGUAAUGCACAGUCAGUUGUUAUGGAGGGUGGACUUAUUUUUGAUGAGGAAUAUUUGUAUACUUUCCGCAUCCAUUGUUGGUUGUUCUGGAGGGUGGAGUUGUUAUAUAAGAAUCAUCUUAAAGCAAGUGGUGGAAAGACCCUUGAAGCAAAUAAGAGUCCUCCCACAAAGCAAAGAUUUGAUGAGGUGCAAGGCCUGCUGGGAAGAUGCAUCUAUCCAAAAAUGUUUGCUUUCAAGUUUUUUUUUUUUUCUUUGGGUAUUAGAGAGAAAAUAUGUAACACAACAAUAUAUGUUUGUGAGAUUCAUAAAGUGAAAGUUGGUUUCAUGGUUGUAGG